rnacentral:lncRNA from 1 species
UAAAGUUUUUUUUUUUUUUUAAUGCUAACACAUUAUUGUAUUGGUCUUUUUCACUAUGUUCAAUGUGCUUGGAUGGUGAAUAAAGUGUUAGAAUCUUAGCAUGGAUCUGGCAAUGGUAAUCAAAUGCACCAUUAGGCAUGGCAUAUUUACUGCGGUGUCUUCUCAGUAAUAAAAGAGUAAGAAAGAAAAAUAACUUCCUUGGUGAAUCUAAAAGCUAUUAGAGUUUAUUACUAGUACCCUUAACCAUUUACCCUUUGACAGAGAAUGUUUGCCAGAAAGCUCUGCUGUGUUGAAAUACAGUAGAUUUCUAUAGAAAAAAAGGUCAUGUUUAAUCUGAGUUAUAAAUGUAUCCAAAUACUAUUUUCAUGAAAUUCCAUUUUUUUUACUUGAAAGAAUGAAUAGAAAACUUAGGAUUCUAUAGACUUGGGUAUUUGUCAGAGAGAUAUUUUGUCAAAACUGAAAAAAAUGUUGCUGCAUGUUACUUCAGAGUCAACAAGUGGCAAUAUUUGCAUUUUAGAUAUAAAAAUUUCAGUUUUACCUGAAAAUUAGAAUUCCAGAAAAAUUUUAUAUGCUAGUUUGACAACCUUUAAAUGUGAAAAGGCUUUUUAACUACCAGUAAUACACUUUCUGAACUAAAUGUAAUUUAUUUUGAUAUUUAAUAGUGAAAUGCAUCAAAAUUUGAUAUAUUUCUUUAUAUCAGUGCUCUCCAAAUGACCCAGAAAAGAUAAAAUGUUCAUUUAAAGUAUAAGAUAGGCAAUAAAUUUUGAUGUAAUAGAGAAUAGUUUAUUGGUGUGGCCUUUCAUUUUAUAUUUUAAGUGACUCUUAAGAGUGAUAAAUUUUGGUAUUGUAUUUGAGAAGAGUAUUCACAAUUAUAAAGAAUGGAUAUUAAAAUCCUCUUCUAUUUUCAUACUUCAUGGCUUUGUAAGAUUAUACUUUCUUUAUAGACUAUGCUGCAAACCACAGAGUAUGAUGAAUUUCAGGACACAUGUCAGUAAGAGACUGUGAAAGAUGCCAGCUAGCCUUAUCAUUAAGUUUUUGGAAAGUAUAGUUGUUUUUCACUAAAUGGAUUAUUUGUGCUAACAUGUGGUGAGUUUUUGUUAUUUUCAAAUGAAUGUUAUUAAAGUAUUUGAGCUUCAUCUAAUACAGUGCUGCAAUAAAACCAAUGUCAGAAUUUUUUGGGGUGCAUUCAGUAAUUUGCAGUGUGUAAAAAUAGCUGGAGGUCAAGCAGCCUGAAAAACCACUGUUUGGCACAUAUGAUGACAUGGACUAAGAAUCUAGUUCUAAUUUGCCUAUAAAUUUCUCUCUGUUUCUCUCAGUCUCUGUCUGUCUGUCUGCCUGGUUUCCUCAACCUUUCCAUUUUUCUUUGGUUUCUCAUGUCUGUUAGAAAGGGCCAGGAGAUGUGGACAUUGAACUCUUGUCAGGGGCAUGCACCAUGGGUCCCACUCUGGAUGUGGAAGAGAGCUGCAAAGCUCAUGUCUUUGUUUCUCCUGUCUGGCUAACUCCAUGUGGUAGGAUGGACUGCCAGGCUCAGGAGGCAGCAAUUAACCUCAAUGAUUAGGCUGGCUCUCACCUAAACUACUGGGGAGGCUUUUCACAGUUUCUUGGAGUUCAUCAGAAAGAUGAGACCUUUCUUAGUGGCUUGAAGUUCCUCACUAAGCAUUUUAUUAUGGUAAUGAACUAUUAAAUGGGCAGUAAAAUGUCAAUUAUGUAAAAUCAUGAGAAGUGCUUGCUGGGAUCCAACUAAGGACCAAGGACAGUGUGACAUCCUGGGAUAUAGUGGUGAGUGAGAGGCCUUGCCUUGACUAAGUUAUUUGUGUAUGUAGAACCAAAUUAAAAGGUCCUAAGUAACAUAACAUAGAGAAACUACUUCAAACCUCUCACAUUAAAAAGGAAGUCAUUUGGAUUUGAGUGGCAAUGGGCAAUAGCUAGAAAGAGACAAGGGUAUGAAGUUCACAUUGGUGUUUUCCCUUUGUCUUUAACACACAGCAGGCAGGCGAGGCCUGUUCCUAUCCAUGGUGGUAUACUUGUGGAACCACACACCCCUCACCUGGUUGCACUGUUCCUUCAGCUUCUUUGACCUGCACAGCCCAGUCUCAAACUCACUGAGGCAGCCCACACACUUGGAAGGGCUCAGAAUAAGAAGCCAUCCCUCAACCUUAGCUUCUGCCUUCCCACCCACUGUGACCUGGACAAGAGAGCUUCCUAUUUACAACGUGUCACUUUUACAGGCCUCCCAGAGGCAGGGAUUCAAGACAAAGUCCUAGACUGAAAAGCAGAAGGUGAAAUAUCUCUGCAUAUCCCAACAAACGCCCCUUUAAAGGCAUGGAAACCACAUAUCCCACAUAAUCUGCCCCGGGGAAUUUGCACAGCGCUGUUUUCAGAGGGUGUGGGAGGUACAGCUUUCAUACUACAGCAUUUAUAAAUGUUUGAAAUAUGUCAGGCCUAGGUCGGGCAACCUGGUUUGCAAAGGACUGUACUGAAGCUUAAGAAUAUUUUUCCUUGAUAGGAAGUGCACAAGAAAUUCUGAAAAUAAUCUAAAUCAAACAAAAAGGAUCAGACCUGAGGCAACUUUUAAUUGACAUUGCCCUUUAGACAAGCAAACUAUCAGUAACACUGAACACCAAUGACUCAUUUUUGGAACGUGUAUAAUAGUUUUUCAUCAAAUUUAAGAAACAUACCAUAUAAUGUGAUAUGAUAUGAUAUGAUGUCAUAUCAUAUCAUAUCAUGUCAUAUCAUAUCAUAUCAUAUCAUACUGUGCCUG